rnacentral:snoRNA from 1 species
GCCANAUGAUGUCAACAUAGCUUUCAAGAGCACUUUGUGCGAAGAUGACUCUGAUCUAUCACCCAAGACUGAUGGCU